ACGAGGUUAGAUUGUUUUCCAGUAGCCAGU
rnacentral:piRNA from 1 species